GCAGUUAGCUCAGUUGGUUAGAGCGUCGUGCUAAUAACGCGAAGGUCGUGGGUUCGAUCCCCCCACGGGCCA
rnacentral:tRNA from 1 species